GGUUCUAUAGUGUAGUGGUCUAUCACACUGGUUUUUGAGAAUAAUUUCCCUCUUAGGGUGAUUUGAAAAUAUACCAGUAACCCCGGUUCGAACCCGGGUAGGACCU
rnacentral:tRNA from 1 species